rnacentral:RNase_P_RNA from 1 species
GAGAGUAGGCGUAGGCGGUUGCAGAACUGUAAUUUUGCCAGUUUUGAGGAAAGUCCGGGCCCCCGAAAGACCAAACUUGCUGGAUAACGUCCAGUGCGAGCAAUCGUGAGGAUAGUGCCACAGAAAGAUACCGCCAUCUUCAGUGAACAGUGAACAGUUAUCAGUAAACAAUAACAACCUGAUAACUGAUAACUGAUAACUGAAAAUGGUAAGGGUGCAAAGGUGCGGUAAGAGCGCACCAGCAGCAUCGAGAGGUGCUGGCUCGGUAAACCCCGGUUGGGAGCAAGGCCAGAGGAACUAUGGUUGGUCUUUUACCAGUUCCGUUCAUGAGAGCCGCUAGAGGCGUUUGGUAACAAGCGUCCCAGAUAGAUAACCGCCAUCAUGUAAAAUUUUUUACAUAGAUAACAGAACCCGGCUUACUACCAACUCUCUCUC